GUUCUCACAUACUUUUUUUAUCGGCUCCGCGCUCAUGGUGAUCGGCGCCUCUGUUCCUCUCUCCGGAUCAUCAUGUAUAUAUAAAUAACCGUUCAGAAAGGAAAGCAGACAUCGCGGGCCAUUCGUGGUUUUGAAUCAGCAUUUUGUUGGGUAUCCCCUAGCAAUUCCACCAUCCAAAACGCACACGCCAUUGCUGUUUUCUGUGAAAAGAUAACAGGGGGAAUAUCAGUGAAAUUGGUGCUCGAACCUAUCAUGUAAUAGAUUUAUUUAGUAAUUAGAAUAAUGCUUAACUCGGUUCAAUGGCUUUUACAGGCUAAUUGACAAUGAGUUUCUCUGUCAACCUUGGAUCACAUCAACCUCCUCUUCAGUUGCCACUCCCGGCUUCAAAUAAUAAAAGAGCUAGAUGUUUUGCUGUGGCUUUUCCGGAGGUUGGACGUCGCCACGUAUCUGAGUCUGGGAGCUACGGAGGUCGCCAACCGACUCAAACCCAAGCACUGAUUGAUCGACUGCAUGGUUGCGCAGAGGAGAGGUCGUUGGGAGGAACCAAAGGGGUUCAUGGUUAUGUUUUGAAAUCUAAUUUCGCGGACGAAGACUUGGUAGUGUCACUCAAUCACGUAGCCUAUGCUUACUCGAAGUGCUCGGCUUUUGGGGCUGCUUGUCAAGUGUUUGAUAAAAUGUCUGAAAGAAACGUUUUCUCUUGGACGGUCAUGAUUGUGGGUGCAACAGAGAAUGGGUUCUACCGCGAUGGGUUCGAGUACUUCUCUGAGAUGCGGGAUUCCGGAUUAUGGCCCGACGGGUUCACGUACUCUGGAGUUCUACAGUUAUGUAUUGGUCUAGAUUGUAUUGGUUUGGGUAAGAUGGUCCAUGCUCAUAUUGUUAUAAGAGGCUUUCAGUCACAUGUUUUUGUUAAUACAUCACUACUUAACAUGUACAUGAAGUUGGGGAAGGUUGAGGAAUCAGGUAAGGUGUUCAACACCAUGGCAGAACAUAAUGAGGUUUCUUGGAAUGCAGUAAUAUCAGGAUUUACGUCAAAUGGUCAUCAUGAAGAAGCAUUCAACUAUUUUCUUAAAUUGAUGAAGGAAGGAUUGACUCCAAAUGUUCAUACCUUUAUUGGUGUACUCAAGGCAGUUGCCAAAUUAGGUGAUCUUGAUAAAGGCAAGGAAGUUCACAAAUCUGUUUCCAGAUUGGGGAUGGAGUCUAAUAUUCUUGUGGGAACUGCAUUGAUUGAUAUGUACUCAAAAUGUAGGGUUUUAUCUGAUGCAAGAUCUGUCUUCAAUGCGAAUUUUAGCAACUGCCAAAUGAAUAUGCCAUGGAAUGCAAUGAUAUCAGGCUAUUCACAAUGUGGGAGUAGCCAAGAAGCUUUAGAACUCUAUGUUAAAAUGUGUGAAAACGAUGUGAAAUCUGAUGUUUACACCUAUUGUGCUGUGUUUAAUGCAAUUGCUGAUUUGAAGUGUUCAAAAUUGGGGAGGGAAGCUCAUGGCCUGGUUUUGAAAUCAGGGUAUGGUAUGGCAGUAUUAAAUGUAAACAAUGCAAUUGCAGAUGCAUAUUCCAAAUGUGGGUCCCUUGCAGAUGUAAGGAAGAUUUUUGACAGAAUGGGAGAAAGAGAUGUAGUAUCUUGGACUACAAUGUUGACUGCCUAUUCUCAAAGUUUAGAAUGGGAGGAAGCCUUGGUCAUCUUCUGCAAGAUGAUGAAAGAAGGCUGUACACCCAACCAGUUUAGUUUUUCUAGUGUGCUUGUUGCUUGUGCCAGCCUUUGUUUUCUUGAAUUUGGAAGGCAAGUCCAUGGUCUUCUGUACAAGGCUGGCUGGAAGACUGAUAAGUGUGUAGAAAGUGCACUGAUUGAUAUGUAUGCUAAGUGUGGCAGCAUAGCAGAGGCAAAGAAAGCUUUCAGUAGCAUUUCUGACCCUGAUAUAGUAUCAUGGACUUCUAUUAUAUCUGGAUAUGCUCAACAUGGUUAUGUGGAUAAGGCCCUUCAGCUUUUCAUGAGGAUGGAGCAGUCUGGUAUCAGACCUAAUGCUGUCACAUUUCUCUGUAUUCUGUUUGCUUGUAGCCAUGGGGGUUUGGUAGAAGAAGGUCUUCACUAUUUCCGACUAAUGGACAAGAGUUAUGGUGUGGUUCCAGAGAUGGAGCAUUAUGCUUGUGUUGUUGACCUCUUAGGUCGUGUGGGCCGCCUAAACGAGGCAUUGGAGUUCAUUCAAAAGAUACCAAUUGAACCAAAAGAUAUGGUCUGGCAGACAUUGUUAGGAGCUUGCAGGGUCCAUGGCAAUGUUGAGCUAGGAGAGGUUGCUGCCAAGGAGAUCCUUUCCUUUCGACCAGAGUAUUCAGCUACCUACAUUCUUUUAUCAAACACAUACAUGGAGAUGGGGAGUUUCAGAGAUGGAAUUAGUUUGCGAAAUUUAAUGAAAGAGCGAGGAGUGAAGAAGGAACCAGGCUGCAGCUGGAUAUCUGUGAAUGGAGAAGUCCACAAGUUUUAUGCAAGGGACCAACAACACCCACAAAAAGAUCAAAUAUAUCUCAUGUUGAAAGAGUUAAGACACAAGAUUAAGGCUAUGGGUUAUGUGCCUGAUGCACGAUAUGUCUUGCAGGAUGGGGGUUGAGAGGGAGAAUCAUGAGUUAAGGAACGAGAAAAUAACUAUUAAUCUGCAUGAGGAACAUCUUUUUGACAACUUAGCGUGCUAGCAUUUAUUGAUGCUUAGAGUACUGAAACUUGACCUAAAAGACAUAACCAUCCAAUCACUAGGAUUGAAGCUUUUGUGUUUGAAGAUGAAGAACAGAGCUUGGAAUUGUUCUCACAGAGAAAAUAAACCCCAGAUGAUGAAAUUCUUUUGAUGGCAGUUGAAUCCCAUUGUGUUCCAUAGUUGAUACCUAUUUCUAGCAUAAUUGAAAGCGGCUAGAUCCCCCAAAAGGGGAGAACCCAAGUGAAUGCUUCUGAGAACAACAUUCUGAAUACUGAACAAUUCAGUAGGUAUGGAUGCAGAAGAAAUUAUGGCUCCUGAACUGGCCUUCCAGAAUAGAUGUACUGAUGUACAAACAUAUGCUCCUGUCUCUUGUGAGCAUGAAGAAUUAUGUGGACAUGGGGAUUAUUAUGAAGGCUAACAGUGCUGGUCUUGAUAAUAAUUUCCUUUCCAUGAAGCAAACAAAUUUUGUAAACUAAAAACUCAUACUUGUUGGUAUUCUAAACACAUGGUGAAUGCCCAGAAAUAUCAAUAAUUGAAUCUUGCUGAAUGAGCUUGGGGAAACUUCCUUAUCCCCAGAAAUUUAAACUAAAAAUGGGGGGCAGGGAACUGAAGAUGAAUGCCAAGAGAAGUUGUGGAACAUCAACCAUCCAAUCUGAUUGGGCUUUGGAAUUUGCAUGUAAAGAUGCUGGUUGUCUCCAGAUGUGCUUAGACACAGAGCUUGGUUCUGUCAUCUGUUCUCCUAUUUGAGCUUGCUUGGCCAAGUUGGAUGAAAAUGGUGCUCGCUGGAUUUCUUUUCCCAUUGAAUAAAGCAGCCAUAUCUCGUUGGUUAAUACUCAAUCAAUGCUUUUUAUGCCUUCACGGGACAAGCUCUAUAUCAGAGCAGCAGGGCAAUUUUUAUAUCAGAAUUUGGCAUGGUGGGCACUCAUCUCAUAUUCUUGCUCACAAGCAAGAGGUAUGAGUAAUAGUAGACGUGGAUGGAUGGCAUCGAAGAGAGAAGGCAAAGAGCUAGAUUCAAAACACAUUUAGACAAAAUUGGGAAAAACAUGUAUGCCAGAUAUCUGCCAAAAUAUCCUGUCACAAAAGCAAUUUAGCAGAUUAUCUUUCCCUCAAUAUCACAUGAUUAUAACAUUUCACUGUUCCAUUUGUGUCCAUAUGUAUUAGAAAACUGAGACUGCGCCCUACUCGUAACACUUCUAAGAGAGCAGUCAUUUUUGAAAUGUUGGAAACUUGAUAUUUUCCUUGUUUUAUGGGAUCCUUAGAAUUGCUAAAGUGCCCCAAAGUGAAACAAACACUACCUUCCAUGCAGUAUCUAAAGCUCAUCUAAACAGAGAUA